AGAUGACUGAGCAUGAGACACGCAGUGCCCGACCGCGUGGAGCCUACGUCCUAGAGAGGAGGCACAGGAACACCAGACACGAGAACGGGAACUGAGUCACCAGCGGGGAAGACAGACCUUAUCCAAGUAGCUUCACUAAGAAACAGAACUGAUUAAAAGGGAAGAAAUGUGGUUGUCUUACGGCAAGUCACAAAAGAAUAUGAUGUGCUCUCCCAGAUGGAGAAUCAGCAUGUGCAAACGUCCAGAAGAAACCUACAGCAAGACCAGCACAGCCCAACAGCCCCAGAGAGGAGCCCCACGUCCUUUAGGGUGAGCCCAGGGCUGACCUAAGGAGAUCCACAACAUGGCUGAGAAAGACGGGGCUGUUGUCUAGGGCCCACCUGGGGCUGCAGGGUAUAGGCAGCUUCCAGCAGGUACUGUCGGAGCCCCGGGUCCCGUUUCUGCAGCGUCACGGCCGCGAACACAGGCAAUGAGAGCAGGUAGGGCUGGCCAGGCACCGGCCAGGUCACUCCAGUGCACAGUCGCCAGCCCCAGGUGUAGGACACUGCAGAGAGAGGUACAGAAAUGGAGGCUCACAAAGGUUUACUUACUUGUCUAAAGGCAUACAGGAAG
rnacentral:lncRNA from 1 species